AAGUUCCGUAGUUGAACCUGCGGAGGGAUCAUUACAGAGUUGCAAAACUCCCUAAACCAUUGUGAACGUUACCUAUACCGUUGCUUCGGCGGGCGGCCCCGGGGUUUACCCCCCGGGCGCCCCUGGGCCCCACCGCGGGCGCCCGCCGGAGGUCACCAAACUCUUGAUAAUUUAUGGCCUCUCUGAGUCUUCUGUACUGAAUAAGUCAAAACUUUCAACAACGGAUCUCUUGGUUCUGGCAUCGAUGAAGAACGCAGCGAAAUGCGAUAAGUAAUGUGAAUUGCAGAAUUCAGUGAAUCAUCGAAUCUUUGAACGCACAUUGCGCCCGCCAGCAUUCUGGCGGGCAUGCCUGUUCGAGCGUCAUUUCAACCAUCAAGCCCCCGGGCUUGUGUUGGGGACCUGCGGCUGCCGCAGGCCCUGAAAAGCAGUGGCGGGCUCGCUGUCGCACCGAGCGUAGUAGCAUACAUCUCGCUCUGGUCGCGCCGCGGGUUCCGGCCGUUAAACCACCUUUUAACCCAAGGUUGACCUCGGAUCAGUAGAAACCCAAU
rnacentral:rRNA from 1 species